CCAGCUACCUGCCAUUGUGGCUGGCAGAUUAUCCCUAUUUUACCAAGUUCCUCCUGUGUUUAUUUGUCCCAUCUUUAACGACGGGUCACUGUGGUCGCAGCCACUAAUGACCUUGGUCUAGCACUCCUGCCACAGUAGGAUUGCUCCAUAAAUGGUCAGUAAAGACCGAGUGCCUGAGAGCUAACAGGCCCCACUGUCACAAACAAAGGAAGCUGAUCACUGGCUAGAUGGAGAAAAAAUGAAUAUAAAAACUAAGACAGAACAACACACCUGUGUAAAUUAUUAAACACAUGGCAAUGGCAAUAAGAUCAAUGGUAAUGUGAGGCGGGCCAC